GCUGUGUCAACUAUUUAAUUUUAGAUUUAAAAAGUUUGAAGAAGAAAUCUUUAAUUGAUUUGUAAAAUCUUGACAUUUGUUUUGUGUGAAAAAACCCAUGUAAUGUCAAAAAUUUGAUCACAAUCCAAAUUCAGAGCUGUAUCACGCUUGAAUGUUUUGUCCAUACUUGCCCCAACUGUUCAGGUUUCGACCUCUGCGGUCGUAUAAAGCUGCGCCCUGCGGAGCACCUGGUUGUAUUAUAUAGUUG
rnacentral:lncRNA from 1 species